rnacentral:tRNA from 1 species
GGAAGUGCUCAGCUCACUGGUGGGGCUCCCGGACUUCAAAUCCGGUGUGGAGCGUUAAAACCGUUCCGGGUGGGUUCGAUUCCCAUGCACUUCCGCCA